rnacentral:piRNA from 1 species
UAUAGCCAAUAUUUCUUGCCACAUAAGGUC